CUCCUCCUCCUGCUGCUGCUGCUGGGGCUCGGCUCUGGCUCGAUGGCGGCGCCCCGAGAUCCCUGCGGCCGGGGCCGGCUGUGGCUGUCGUCAGAUCCCCGUCUGUGAGUGAGACGCCAGAGGACAGGCUCGGGUUUGGGAAAGACUGAAAAUCCGGAACCACUCACUCACUCACUCACACGCAGACACACGCAGACACACGCACGCACUCCCGCUUCCUCUCCCACACACUCACCCCCCACCUAUAUGCACACGCACACACUCACACACUCACACUCACACACACAAGGCAGGGCGAGGCGAUGCCAGGAAACAUCGAUCCCGCUGAACAAACUGAACAUUAACAAACUCCUCCUCCUCCUCCUCUCCCCGCGACCUGAUGACAGGGAGAGAUUUACUCCCCAGCCGCAAAGCGCCGGGCAGAGGGAGUCUGUUAAAGGGACAGUGUCCUGCCGGGGACAGGGGCUGGGGGCCCAGGGCCCGGCGCGCCCGGCUGGCUCUCUCGGGGCGCCCUCGUCGUGGAUGGCGGGACGCCCCUCCGGGAGGAGGCUGGGGGCGGGGCGGGGCGGCCGGGAAGCCAGAGCACGGUGGUAAACUUGGAGCUGGGCAGACAGGCUGGGGGGGUCAGGCUGUCUGACCGGACCACCCAGGUUUGCUUGGGGCAGGGGGCUCGGUGGGGACCUUACUUACCCAGGGGUGACUCCCAUAUUUUAAGUCUUAACCAGACUCCCCCAAAUUUCCUGCUCACCUGCCUGGCUUAAGUUUCCCUCUUCUGUUCCUUCCACUGUCCUGAAGAUCAAGGGUGGUCUCCAAAACAAAAUCUGCCUUCUUGGACUCCUUGGGUAUGGUCUUUUUCUUUCCUUUAAGCAGUAUUUACUGAGCACCUACUCUGUACCUGUUCAGGAGACACAGCAGCCAUAGAGAAAGGAAAACUCCUAGGCUUUUGGUAUUUAUAUUCUAAUGGGGGACAGUACACAAAUCCCCUGAUGGCCCAUCUUUGCUUAAAUGUCGCCCUCUCCCUAAGGUCUACCUUAUUUAUAAUUUCAUACACAUGCCAUCCUAUUUUUUCAUUUUAUUUUUCCCCACCGGGCUUCUCAAUGCGGCACAUGUUAUGUACAGUUUUCUAUUUGGUUAAUUGUCUGAGAUCCCCUCUAGAAUAUAAGCUGUGUUGGGAGGAGGGAUUUUUGCCUCUUUUGUUCUAUAAUUAUCUCCAAUGAUGACAAAGCUUAAAUCUCAUAGUCAGGCUGCCCUAAAACAUUUGUGCAAUGAAUGAAAAGUAAGUAAAUGCACACACACACACAUCCUAACUUCAGAGUGGUAAACUCCAUGAAGAUGGUAAAACUGGGUGUCCUCGGAGUUUGACAGAGGAGGAGGAGGAGGAGGAAGAGGAGCUGCAGAUCCCCAGUUGGGACAGAUUGAAGUUAGCCUUUAUCACUGAGGGCUGUUAUUGGCCCAGGACCUCUCCAGGUGUUGGGGGCCCAUCUGUGAACAGGUAGAACCUGAACUCUGCCCAUAUGGAGCUCUCCUUCCGGUGGGGGUGGCAAACAGGUAAGAAGCAAGGGACAUAGGCAGAGAGGAACUGGCCCUUGGACCACUCUGAACCCGGACUUGGAGGUCAGAGGAUGGUGAAUAG
ensembl:lncRNA